ACGCGUAGGUAACCUGCCUCAUAGCGGGGGAUAACUAUUGGAAACGAUAGCUAAUACCGCAUAAGAGUGAUUAACACAUGUUAGUUAUUUAAAAGGAGCAAUUGCUUCACUGUGAGAUGGACCUGCGUUGUAUUAGCUAGUUGGUGAGGUAAAGGCUCACCAAGGCGACGAUACAUAGCCGACCUGAGAGGGUGAUCGGCCACACUGGGACUGAGACACGGCCCAGACUCCUACGGGAGGCAGCGGUAGGGAAUCUUCGGCAAUGGACGGAAGUCUGACCGAGCAACGCCGCGUGAGUGAAGAAGGUUUUCGGAUCGUAAAGCUCUGUUGUUAGAGAAGAACGUUGGUAGGAGUGGAAAAUCUACCAAGUGACGGUAACUAACCAGAAAGGGACGGCUAACUACGUGCCAGCAGCCGCGGUAAUACGUAGGUCCCGAGCGUUGUCCGGAUUUAUUGGGCGUAAAGCGAGCGCAGGCGGUUCUUUAAGUCUGAAGUUAAAGGCAGUGGCUUAACCAUUGUACGCUUUGGAAACUGGAGGACUUGAGUGCAGAAGGGGAGAGUGGAAUUCCAUGUGUAGCGGUGAAAUGCGUAGAUAUAUGGAGGAACACCGGUGGCGAAAGCGGCUCUCUGGUCUGUAACUGACGCUGAGGCUCGAAAGCGUGGGGAGCAAACAGGAUUAGAUACCCUGGUAGUCCACGCCGUAAACGAUGAGUGCUAGGUGUUAGGCCCUUUCCGGGGCUUAGUGCCGCAGCUAACGCAUUAAGCACUCCGCCUGGGGA
rnacentral:rRNA from 1 species